rnacentral:sRNA from 1 species
GUUGGUUUGGAAGUACAAACCUAUUUAUGCAAGGCAAGUUAAAGCAGUUCACCAUUAAGUGUUAUCCAAGAUACCUUCAUUGCGAAUUCCUUCUAAUUUAGUUCCCAUAAGUACGUACGAAAGAAAACUAACUAUACCGCCAUAUGGCAACUUAAAAAAUUAAAAGGAUAUAACAUGUCUAAUACAAUGACUGGUACUGUAAAAUGGUUUAACAAUGAUAAAGGUUUCGGCUUUAUCUCUCCAAAAGAUGGCAGCAAAGAUGUAUUCGUACAUUUCUCUGCAAUUCAAAGUAAUAGCUUCAAAAGCCUGAACGAAGGACAAGAAGUGUCUUUCACUAUCGAAAAUGGCGCUAAAGGCCCAGCUGCAGCUAACGUUGUAGCGCUUUAAUUAAAGCCUAAAGAUAGAUAAAUUCAGUAAAAUGAAUUCCCAAGACCUCGCCCAUGCGGGGUCUUUUGCU